rnacentral:lncRNA from 13 species
AUGAAGGGGCAAGGAUUCGGUAGCCAGGGAGGACGGUCGGUUUUCGUGUUGUUGAUUUGCCAAAGUAAUCAGUGCCUGUCUUCCUGUAUGACAGACCGGGGGUCUCUGAAUUACAGUGAUGCUGUGAAAGAGAAGACUUCAUUAGCAGAAUUCAUUACUGAAAGGGUCAAGACCUGCGGCCAUUGCCCGUACUGGACUGGGUCUCUGACAGCAAACAAGACUAGCCCCCCUCAUCCUCAUUCUGGAGCUGCAGCUAACUCACUGCAGCCCGGAGGCCAGCCCAGAGCUCUCCGUCAGUGUUGCCAGGCAACCGUUUACAGAUAGAUGGAUGGAGGGAGGGUGGUGGGGUCUCGCCUGUGGCUUCCGCCCCCGCCCGUCCCUCGUAACAGGCCCGGGGAGCGAGAUGACACAUAGGGAGCAGAUCGGCCACUCGCCUAGCCUGGCCUCUCAAACUCCCAAAGACCUUGGCUCGUGGAAUUGAAUAUCUAUGAUAACCAGCAUCGUGUAAUGAUCCAACCUCCCAGGGCCAUGCAUCUGGCCUCCCUAGCAAGUAAACAUAGUCAGUUCCCCUGACCCAGCCUCUCCCUAAGAGAUAAAUCCCCACUGGCUGAAUCCCAGCACCAGAGGUGGGCGAGUAGAACAUUAUGUUUCCCCAACAGAACAGGGUCAAGACAGUAAAGUUACAGUGACAACAGGGGCCAGUCAGUUUGAUCAAAGCAGUUUGCUCUCCCUACUAGAAACCUGAUAGCGUGCCUCUGCUAUUCUUGAGCUUUGAUUUCCUCCUUUGGGUCUUAACCACCUUUUGACGGACAGAGAGCAAGAUGGAGGCCAGUAGCCCAUAAAUGACCUCCACGAAGAUGUCUAUACUGCAGUGUGGCUGAACUACUGCACCAAGAGUAUGUUUCCUAUUUCUUAUUAGAGAGUGGAAGAGGACAACAACAAGAUGGCAGGCAGAGGGUUUUUCACUCCCUCAGACAAAAGGCUUUAGAGAAAAAAAAUCUGUUUCUUUCCAAGGCGCUUCCUUGUCUCCGGUCCCGGGCGGUGGAUUGUUUUUGUUCAUUUCAGGGGGGGCCGUCUGUGUGGAGGCCUUAUUUGUUUCCUGAAUGGCUAAUCUGCCAAGUUCAUGCCUGGGGCUGGCCGCUGAGAAGGGGGUCCUUGUUUCCAGCGAUGCCGGGCGGUCCUUGUGACAGUGCCGCUUGUCCCGGACCUCUGCCUGAUUCAUUACAAUACAGCUGCCUCCAGAGGCGACCAGGCAGACAGAGGAUUUGUCCCAAAUGGCAUCCUAUUCCCCAUGGGCCCUGGUCAAAAGUAGUGCACUAUAUAGGGAACAGGGUGCCACCCAGGAGCUGAGGCAGAGCAUGCUUGCCUUGGCCCUUUCCUCUCCCUCACAGACCCUCCUCAAGCAGGGUCGGGUCUGCAGCAAGCAGAUGGUCUCUGGGGAUUAAGCCAUUAGGCACAUGGCAGCCAUUGUGAGGUCUUUGUGACAUCAAAGGUCAUACCCCAGGAGUUAUAUAGAGGUCAAGGAUGAUGAUGAUUCUGAGCCCAGCUCGCUUGCCCUGGUUGUUUCCACAGCCUGAGGGGGGAAGCAGGCGGAGAUGGACUGGCUGUGGUAUUACUGCUUGCUGCUAUUGGACCUGUCCAGAGAGUAUUGAUCCUUAAACGGCACUGUUGAAUGUGCUAAAAGCAACAGAUUGGGUCUAUUUGACUGGUAUGAUAAUGAUCACCUGUUAGUUCCUCGGCAGACUGAAGAGGGCUACUGACACAGAUUUAGCACCAUCUUAUUAAAAUAUGUUCAUAUCCACCCUCAGAAUAUGACUCAAUUAUUUUCACUUCAAAUUUUGUGACCAAAGAGCAAAUACAUACGAAUAUUUUUUUUUGAAUGUACAUUCAUAGAAUGUAGAAUGUCAGUCUUGUCCAGGCCUGGACUCUACACAGACUGGUGCGUCAACCAAUCACAGCUAGAGUUGGCCUAUUAUGCAAAUAGCUGUGCCAUAUGGUCAUAUGCCUGUCACUUUUGAUGUUGAGCUCCACUGUACAGGCAGCCGUACAGCACCGUUCUGUUCAGAUCAUUGUUUAGAAAGCCGUGGCAAGCAAAAGUCACAAGAAACUCAAAUGGUUUCCUGCAAAUAUGUAAAUACCACACGAGUCCUUGAGUCCUAUUGAUCAAACAACCAACAGGUUGGCUGUCUCCUUCAGUUGCCUCUCCAGAUUAUACCUUUGUUUGGUUUCAGUGCGGAAUAGUCUCCGCUUUUUCUCCUUUUAUUGUGUCCCGUUGACAUUUGUACCACAGCGGCUGUGCAGGUGCCUUAUUUUCCAUAGUGAGGGAGCUCCUGUUUCACUUUGUUCACGGUGCCGGCCAGACUGGUUUUCUUUUCAAGCAACUUGUUCGCCAAUGACAGUGAAGAAAAUGUCCGUGGUGACAUUGCUCCCCUUGCCAACGUGAGGUUCCACAAGCCUCAUCACCACAUUCGCACCUAAUGCCGAUGUGGAUAUUUUCCCAGAUAUUGAAAGCCGUUCAGCGUGUACAAUUACGCACACUCUCCCUGUGUAUAGCCUACUCCAAGGAGGCCAGAGGAGACCGAUACGACUGCUUUGAUUGGGUGAACUGAUAUAGGGUACAUACCAUUUUGAGAUUAGGCCUAUAAUUAGACUUGAUUAAUACAAUGGAAUGGUCCGCACUGUUCUUCAAUGGGUGAUUACAUAAUUAUGCCUCGUUCGCUUCCACUCGCUGCUCAACUCACCCAUUCUCCCCCUUUUCUCCCCUUCAUACUUUGCUUCAUUUAUUUCCUCUGUUAUGUGUGAAAUUAGUUUUGGGUUAGUUUAGGUUCAGUUUCGAAGCAAUUAUUGGAGUGAUUAUCAGCUGGGCACUGCACUUUGAACUGUCAGGAGAAGGAGUGGAGCAGGCCCUACUGUUGGGAAAAGGAAUGGAGUAGGCCCUACUGUUGGGAGAAGGAAUGGAGCAGGCCCUACUGUUGGGAGAAGGAAGGGAGCAGGCCCUACUGUUGGGAGAAGGAAGGGAGCAGGCCCUACUGUUGGGAGA